rnacentral:rRNA from 1 species
GACGAACGCUGGCGGCGUGCUUAACACAUGCAAGUCGAACGGAAAGGCCCUGCUUUUGUGGGGUGCUCGAGUGGCGAACGGGUGAGUAACACGUGAGUAACCUGCCCUUGACUUUGGGAUAACUUCAGGAAACUGGGGCUAAUACCGGAUAGGAGCUCCUGCUGCAUGGUGGGGGUUGGAAAGUUUCGGCGGUUGGGGAUGGACUCGCGGCUUAUGAGCUUGUUGGUGGGGUAGUGGCUUACCAAGGCUUUGACGGGUAGCCGGCCUGAGAGGGUGACCGGCCACAUUGGGACUGAGAUACGGCCCAGAGUCCUACGGGAGGCAGCAGUGGGGAAUAUUGCACAAUGGGCGGAAGCCUGAUGCAGCAACGCCGCGUGCGGGAUGACGGCCUUCGGGUUGUAAACCGCUUUCGCCUGUGACGAAGCGUGAGUGACGGUAAUGGGUAAAGAAGCACCGGCUAACUACGUG